rnacentral:tRNA from 1 species
UUGUAGCUCAGUGGUAGAGGGCUUGCCUCACAAGCACAAGGCCCUGGUUUCUCUUCCCAGUACAAA